UCUCUCUUGUUUUCUAUUAUUUCUUUCUUUUCUUCCCUUUUUUUCUUUCUCCGUUGGGGGAAUGAUAUAUAUAUAUAUAUGCUGAGUAAUG
rnacentral:ribozyme from 14 species